rnacentral:rRNA from 1 species
CUGCGAAUACCGGAGAAUGUUAUCACGGGAGACACACGGCGGGUGCUAACGUCCGUCGUGAAGAGGGAAACAACCCAGACCGCCAGCUAAGGUCCCAAAGUCAUGGUUAAGUGGGAAACGAUGUGGGAAGGCCCAGACAGCCAGGAUGUUGGCUUAGAAGCAGCCAUCAUUUAAAGAAAGCGUAAUAGCUCACUGGUCGAGUCGGCCUGCGCGGAAGAUGUAACGGGGCUAAACCAUGCACCGAAGCUGCGGCAGCGACGCUGAUGCGUUGUUGGGUAGGGGAGCGUUCUGUAAGCCUGCGAAGGUGUGCUGUGAGGCAUGCUGGAGGUAUCAGAAGUGCGAAUGCUGACAUAAGUAACGAUAAAGCGGGUGAAAAGCCCGCUCGCCGGAAGACCAAGGGUUCCUGUCCAACGUUAAUCGGGGCAGGGUGAGUCGACCCCUAAGGCGAGGCCGAAAGGCGUAGUCGAUGGGAAACAGGUUAAUAUUCCUGUACUUGGUGUUACUGCGAAGGGGGGACGGAGAAGGCUAUGUUGGCCGGGCGACGGUUGUCCCGGUUUAAGCGUGUAGGCUGGUUUUCCAGGCAAAUCCGGAAAAUCAAGGCUGAGGCGUGAUGACGAGGCACUACGGUGCUGAAGCAACAAAUGCCCUGCUUCCAGGAAAAGCCUCUAAGCAUCAGGUAACAUCAAAUCGUACCCCAAACCGACACAGGUGGUCAGGUAGAGAAUACCAAGGCGCUUGAGAGAACUCGGGUGAAGGAACUAGGCAAAAUGGUGCCGUAACUUCGGGAGAA